rnacentral:tRNA from 1 species
GAGUUUUUAGUAUAAGGUUUAGUAUUAUUAAUUGUUGAUUAAUUGGUUAUAAAAUUCU